GAGGGUGAAGCUCAGUGGUAGAGUGCAUGCCUAGCAUGCACGAGGUCCUGGGUUCAAUCUCCAGUACCUCCA
rfam:Camelus ferus unplaced genomic scaffold scaffold246, whole genome shotgun sequence.